AUGGGUCCUACCCAGAUUCUUAUGUUCGGUGUCUCUCUCGGAUUGAUUUGUCAUGUUGCAAUAGAUACGUCACGGACAAGAAUUAACGUUGUUGAAUCAAAUGAAGAAUAUAUGACGGAAGAACCGUUCGAACAUCGUAAUUCUGAAAAAGAUGUCGUAUCAUCUAAUGUCCAAGAAAUGGCUACUAAUGAUGAAGGCUUCACAUAUUUUGAUGAUGCUGAUGCGGAUGAAAAUGAAGAAGCUGAAAAUUCAGAAACAAAAGAGCAUAAGAAGAGGAAGCUAAAAUAUAUUUGGAACCUUCCAAAGGUGGAUCGCUUAGUUGGUUGGGUGCCACCUGAAUUUAAGUGUUCUUGA
rnacentral:rRNA from 1 species